rnacentral:rRNA from 1 species
AGCGAACGCUGGCGGCAGGCUUAACACAUGCAAGUCGAGCGGGCAUCCUUGUGGUGUCAGCGGCAGACGGGUGAGUAACGCGUGGGAACGUGCCCUUCGGUUCGGAAUAACUCAGGGAAACUUGAGCUAAUACCGGAUACGUGCGAGAGCAGAAAGGUUUAUCUGCCGAAGGAUCGGCCCGCGUCUGAUUAGCUAGUUGGUGAGGUUAUGGCUCACCAAGGCGACGAUCAGUAGCUGGUCUGAGAGGAUGAUCAGCCACACUGGGACUGAGACACGGCCCAGACUCCUACGGGAGGCAGCAGUGGGGAAUAUUGGACAAUGGGGGCAACCCUGAUCCAGCCAUGCCGCGUGAGUGAUGACGGCCUUAGGGUUGUAAAGCUCUUUUCCCGGGACGAUAAUGACGGUACCGGAGGAAUAAGCCCCGGCUAACUUCGUG